UUUGCUUUAAAUAAAAGGUCCAGCCUGCCCAGUGACACUGUUCAACGGCCGCGGUAUCCUAACCGUGCGAAGGUAGCGUAAUCACUUGUUCUUUAAAUGAGGACUAGUAUGAAAGGCUCCACGAGAGUCAUACUGUCUCCUUUUUCCAAUCAGUUAAACUAAUCUCCCCGUGAAGAAGCGGGGAUAACUAUAUAAGACGAGAAGACCCUAUGGAGCUUUAAACGAAUAACACUUGCCCAUUCACUCCUUUUAAUUUCAGAAAAAUCUAUUACCUUGGCAUCAUACUUAUUAGUUUUUGAUUGGGGUGAUCACGGAACAAAAAAUAACCUCCGCAAUGAAACACUUUCCAUAACUAAGUCAAGAACCACAACUCUACACAUCAACAAAUUGACACCAAUUGACCCAAUUUAUUGAUCAAUGAAC
rnacentral:rRNA from 1 species